GCAAGCAGGCCAAGCCCCACUCCUCAAGAUGGAGGAGGAGCUGCUGCUCCCGGUGGGGACUCCCCAGUAGGCCACUGGGGGAAGCCCCACGACCCAGACAGCAGGUGGAGAGCAGCAGCUGGCCGGAGAUCGACUUCAGCGAGAAACUGUGCGGAGCUCCAGCAGCUGGACUUCCUGGAGCAGAAGAGCCGCUGAACCCCGCCCCUGCUGAUCUCACUGCACACAGCCUAGGGCCCCACCCGCCGAGGACUCCAGAACCUUCUCCUACCAGCUCGCCCAGAGACCAAGCCAAGAGAGUGGUCUCUGAGGAGCCCGCUAGAAAGGCAAGGCGAGGCCCGCAGAGAAGGAUGCCAAGCCUGUAGAAGCAGAGACGUCGGGGAUGGGGGACCUGCCCUGGGCGCCGCCAGAGGCCCAAGCGCCCAGCACCGCAGGAGCUGGAGACGUCGCUGAGCACCAGGUGGCGCCGGCGCGGUUCCUACAGGGAGCCUGGAGGCAGGCUGCGGGGUGGCUGUGCCGGGAGACUGGAGCGGCUCCUGGCUCCGCGCAGGCAGGGCCCCCAGAGACAGCUCAUGCAGCAGAUCCGCAGCCCCGGGGCCCUCAGGCACCGCCGCGGCUGCCGCCCUCGCUCAGUCCCGAGCGCGUCCACCCUGGCCAGCCAGCUGCCCCCGCUGAACCUGCGCCGGGCGCUCCGGCUCUCCGUUCGGGCCCCAGCCAACCCCGCGGGCUCAGGCUCCCAGUUCCUGUCCCAGCCUGCGCCGGCUCCAGCGCCCCCGGCUCUCCAGCUGCUCUUCCCGACUCCUAUCCUUGGCCGCCCCCAGCGCGGAACCGACCCGCGACCCUACCGCCAACAUCGCGGGUCUCGCCUCUCGCAGCCUUUUUGGCGUCCGCGCCUCAGCGUUGAAGCCAGGGCCCCUCGUGAGCUCGGCGCCCAGCCUGUCAAGUCCUCUUCUGCCUCAGCUCUCACAGCAGUGUCUUCCCCGCCUGCUGGUCGGCAUCGCGCCACAGCCAAUGUCUCCUGUUGCUGUCCGCCCCCGCGAAGCGCUGCAAGGGCCAGCGCCCAACCUGUCGCUGCGGAAGACCGGGGCAUAGAACCUGUCCUGGUGCUGGGCAAGCGCUUCCGCCCCAAGUCCCCGACCUGGGCAACCUGGAGGAGCCCAGGGAAUAGCGCUCAGGACCCAGAGGCUGGACAGCCAGCCCGCCCGCCCGUCCCUGGCCACGAGGCGCCCCGGACCUGACCACCGCCCC